rnacentral:rRNA from 1 species
UGGGGAAUAUUGGCACAAUGGGCGCAAGCCUGAUGCAGCAACGCCGCGUGAGGGAUGACGGCCUUCGGGUUGUAAACCUCUUUUAGUAGGGAAGAAGCGAAAGUGACGGUACCUGCAGAAAAAGCACCGGCUAACUACGUGCCAGCAGCCGCGGUAAUACGUAGGGUGCGAGCGUUGUCCGGAAUUAUUGGGCGUAAAGAGCUCGUAGGCGGUCUGUCGCGUCUGCUGUGAAAACCCGAGGCUCAACCUCGGGCCUGCAGUGGGUACGGGCAGACUAGAGUGCGGUAGGGGAGAAUGGAAUUCCUGGUGUAGCGGUGGAAUGCGCAGAUAUCAGGAGGAACACCGAUGGCGAAGGCAGUUCUCUGGGCCGUAACUGACACUGAGGAGCGAAAGCGUGGGGAGCGAACAGGAUUAGAUACCCUGGUAGUCCACGCCGUAAACGUUGGGCGCUAGAUGUGGGGACCAUUCCACGGUUUCCGUGUCGCAGCUAACGCAUUAAGCGCCCCGCCUGGGGAGUACGGCCGCAAGGCUAAAACUCAAAGGAAUUGACGGGGUCAUAGCUG